rnacentral:rRNA from 1 species
AUAGCGUAUAUUAAAGUUGUUGCAGUUAAAAAGCUCGUAGUUGAACUUCAGGCCUGACCGGGUGGUCCGCCUAACGGCGUGUACUGUCUUGCCGGGCCCUACCUCUUGGUGAGCCGGCAUGCCCUUCACUGGGUGUGUCGGGGAACCAGGACCUUUACCUUGAGAAAAUUAGAGUGUUCAAAGCAGGCUUACGCCGGAAUACAUUAGCAUGGAAUAAUAAAAUAGGACGUGCGGUUCUAUUUUGUUGGUUUCUAGAGUCGCCGUAAUGAUUAAUAGGGAUAGUUGGGGGCAUUUGUAUUGCGUUGCUAGAGGUGAAAUUCUUGGAUUUACGCAAGACAAACUAUUG